GUUGAGCUUGUGGGGGCUCUGCUUGGGGUUGUUUGCUGCCUUUGGAUGGGGCUCCUGUCCUGGCUCUCUCUGUCAGAUCUCACUUAGGUACCAGUCCACCCUUGGAUUAUGGGAACUGGUGAGGCCAAGCAUUGGGAAGACACCUUGUCCCUCCUCAGCUUUGCUUCACCACGUGGUGCCAGAUAGGAAGCCUGUUUAGCGAUGUCACUUGUUCCUGCCUUCCCUGGGUGAGGGUGCUCUGUGUGCAAAUGGACAAACACUUCCAUUUGCAAAGGUUCACCAUGUGUUGUAAGCAGAGAAGAGCCAAAGCUUUGGACACUGUCUAUGAAUCUGUGUUGCCACAGAAGUCACUUCUGUCUGCAUGUGCAGCAGUUACACUUCUAACUCAGCUGUCAGGAUAAAGUCUAUCGACAUGUGCCAGCAAGUGGUUUGUGUGGAGUAGACAUUCACUGGAGCUGCAGAGCUCGAUGUCAAUGGACCAGCUCUCUGCAACACAGAAGGGUCAAACAGCAUGCUGGUGUGUUAGAUCCCAGCCCCAGUGCUCCUUGUACCGCAGCAAGUGCUUGCAAGGAGGGAGUGGGCACCACGGCCAGGGCUGUGCUUGCCAGUUGGGGUGGCUUGGCCUUGCCUUGUGUGUUCAGAAAUCAACCCACAGAACAGUACGAAAAUGAAUAUGGAAAUACCAUUACAAGAAUUUAGGAAAAGUGAGAGCCUUAACCAGUGAUUAAGAAAUAAUGAUGUUAACGAAACAAGUCUGAAAAUUUUCAUCUUUUUCAUCAUCUCCUUUGAAGGUUUACAUAAAAGAAGAUGCGGUAAUUUUACGUGGAAAUCUGGAGCAGUGUGAUGCAAUCGUAAAACCAGAAUUCUGUAUUAUGUCUCCGGUGCCCAGCAUUUCUGGUCGACUGCCACCCAGCCCGCCAGAAACGCAGGGCCUAGGGACCUGGCAUGAACCAUAUGAAUUCAGUGUGUGUGUUUUCUCCAGCAGAAGAUUAAUGAAGAUACUUUUCUGAAGAUGCUGAGUUUGAGUCACCUCCUAUUCAUGGUGAAGUAUCUCCAAGGAAGGAAAGUGUGUGCAACCCUAUGGCUGGCAUUAUAUACAUGUAUUCCCUGGCAUCAUCCUCCAUUGCAGAGCUGCAUCUCUGUUCAUUUUAAGAGUUACAGCAGUCUGAAUAAUAGAAGUGAUGUACCUUAGGAAUCAGAGAAUUGGGCCUUCUACCUGUCUGGAUGUGCUGUAUAAAGGAAGGACUCGUAUGCUAUGGAACCUCAGUCCUGGUGGUUAAAUGGGAUUUAUAUGCAUAAAGCCAGAUUGGCAAACAAGUGUAAGAACCCAACAAGAAAAACUGGAACAGAGUGCCUGAAUACAUAAAUAACUGAAAAUCAAACUAAUCAAAUUUCCCUCUACAUUUUCGACUUAAAUAUCAGUGAUUCCAGCCCUGGUAAUCAGUUCUCUUUUAACAAGAUUUAACAGAAAAUUGUUUAAAUAAUUCAAAAGCUGUGGUCAUAUAAACAUUAUAUUGCUCAAUUGCAGCAUAGCAGUACCCACAUUUAUAGAACUGCUUGAAAAUUCCAGUCAAGCUGUCCUCUGGUGCUCUCCCUACCUCAGACAUACUUGGAAUUCCCUCUUUUUUCCAGGUUGAGUGCCACAGUCAUCAGUCUUUCAAUGAGUCCUGGAACCAUAGCUGUCAUCUAGUCUGGUUUGAGUGCUUGUAUUGAAUAUGCGUUGCUGAGCUUCAUUUGCCUCCCCUGAAUUCUGUUUUGUUGAAAUAGACCUUCUCAAAGACAAAUGUAGCAAGGCACAUGACUAAAUUUUCUGCAAUAUUUCUCUGUGAUACAAUAAAUUUUCAGCAGAAGAAAUAGCAGAAAAUGAGCAGAAAUGCAUAGGGAAAGCCCAUGAAGGAAUGAUAGAAAUUAAUUCAAAACCUUUUGUUCAGCAUAAUUUGGACAAGACAUAAUAGAGUCCACAGUUUACAAGUGAGAAGCAAUAAGUGAGAAGUAUAUAACUGGUAAAACAGCACUCAGUUAAUUUACAUUUUCUGUUGCAUCUUUAUGGUGAAACUCAGCUAUGUGUUAAUGGUCCUCAGAAGAAUCUAGACAACGCUGAUUCUCUACUUAUACUUUGUAUUAAGGGUAAAAUUCACCAUAUUGAAGAGGACAAGCUUAAGAUCUAUGCACCCACUUAGUACCACUUAUCCCAAUUUUCACUUAACAAGGGCGUAAGUAGUGUAUACGUCUGGAUUGUCCUUCUGCACUAAAGUGAAUUUUCUCCCUAGUAAAUUAGAUUGGUCUGAUGUGUGCUUAAAAGGAAGAAAAUCUUUGCUUUCAUGAGGGGUUGUUCUGGGAAAUUGCUGCUUGACCUAUAACUUAAACAAAAAAUUUCAGUUCUUUAAAAUUGCUUUGACACUCAUGCAUGGUGUAUUUACAUGAUUUACCAUUUGAUCAAACAGCAAAGUUGAAGUAAUGGAGUCCAUCAAUCAUGAAGGGGAAUGAAGUUUUGAAGGAGCUGCUUGUUCCUUUGCUUUUCAGAUCCUUCCUGUGGAUGGAUUUUUUUAAUAUACUUUUUUUUUUUUUUUUUUUGGUGUUUGAGUAAAAUUGGUAUAGAGUGGGUUGAGUAGCAUCAUAAGACCAUAAGCAUAUCCCUCUGCAGAGAGCACAGAAGAGUGGAAAGUAGUUAUAUAUUUAACUUGGAUGUGAGUGAGAUAAACAUAAACAGGAUAAUUUUGCAAGCCAAGAAGUCAUGACAAACUUAAAUUAAAUGGAAUGUCUUGUGUGCAUGCAGACCUACACCAACUUUUUUGUGCUCAGUUUGCUACCAAGAUAGGUUAGACCCACCUGGGUGUGCAUCUUAUUUCACAAGUCCGGCAAUUGUACAAAUACAUAUUCACCCACAUAGAUGCAACUAUACAGAGCCCUCUAGCUUCUGACUUUAAAAUAGGCAGCUAGUUGGACGCAUACACAUUAGGGCAUGCAGAAUACCUUCCUGUGGCCUCAAAUGCAUGUUUUUAUUUGCAGGAACACAGGCACUGCAAGAUAUUCCAGUCACAGUUAAUGAAGUCCUUAAUGAACUGAUGGGCCUGUUUCUUAUCUCACUUAUGCCAGAUUUAAACCUAUGUAACUCCAUUAACUUGUUGAGUUGAUCCUAAUUUUAUAUAAGUGUAAAAAAGACGAGAACCAGACGUUUUAUGUUCUCAUUAUCUAAGAGAAUACAAAGUAUGAAGUUCUUAAAAACCUUUUUUCUGUUUUCUAUCAGUUACACAGAGCCUUAUGCACUCACCCACCUUUGACCCUUCCUACUUUCCCUAUGUACCAGUUUCUCCAGCUACUUACUGUGUUUUCCCACAAUUACACUGAUCAUGUAACUUUUGAUCUCAUUGUGGUUUUGAACCUCCUGAAAUGAGUUUUCUAAACUUUAUUCCUAGUGAGCAUAUUCCUUCUCACAUGAAUCAAAACUCUGCAUUCCUCGUUUUCCACAGAGCCCUCUUCUAACAUCCUAGCUUUUCUCUAAUGGAAAGAAAUUGCCAGUACUGAAAUCAUUCACAUAACAUGAGUGUAAAGUUGUGGAAUUGAAGACAAAAUCUUUUCCCACAUACAGUUUAACUUUGGUAAUGUUUGAUCUAGUCCUGUUCUCUUCAGCUCAUUAUGUUGAACUUUGUCUGUCUCCAGUAGUUUACCUUCCACGUGAACUCUGAAUUGAAAGAUCAGUUUUACUCCAAGGAGACAUACUCUGUGUACACAGAGAAAAUUAUUUCAGAUGUUUUGUUUAACUUUUACUCUGUUUUGAUAUUGCCCUGAUAUGACUUACAAUGUGGUAAUGUACUGUACAUUUCUGUCUUCAUAGCCUAGUUCAAAUACCAGCAUGAACCUGAUCUCCAAGAAAUUCAAGGCAAUGAUUUUUGUGAGAAGCUUACGUAUCAGCUACUUUUGCCAGCUUACUCUAAACGUAUACAAAACUGAAUGGAAUAAGUGGCCAGAAAUGCAACAGGAGCCCUAGUGAGACAUCUGAAAUCCCAAAAGCAUGAAUCUGAGCUGACCUACACCGUGUUAGCACUGGAGUAAUGCCUCUGACUUUGAUGGAGUCACUCAUAAUUUACAGCUAUGUAAGAUCAAAUAUAUAGCCCAGAGAACAGAAAUGUUAACAUGGAUAGUCUCAAUCAGGGAAGGGAUGCUUAUUCUAAUGGUACCUCCUGUCAGUCAAGUCACAGACUAGAUGUCACUUAUGAGCACAAUGGGUCACCCUAUUUCCUCUAUUCUGAAUAUGAUUAAAAAUAUAAAAAUAAGAGUUCGAAUGGAAAAAUGAACUAUUAUGAAAAUAAAUAAGAGGACUGAAAAAAGAAAUCAGAAAGGAGAAUGAAAGGCAACUGCCCUAAACAGCCCCAAACCAAUUACAUCGGGCUUAGCAGAGGGUGAGGUGGUUGUCUGAGCAGCUUGAAAUGAACCGCAUUACUCAGCUGCGUUGCAGUAGUCAUUUCCUAUUUCAUUCUCCCAAGGCUUAUGCAAGGCUCCUCCAGAAAGUGCCAGGUUUCUGCCAACAGAGGCAACAAGAGCUCCAGGAUUCCUCUGCAGCCAAAGCCAAUGUGCGAUGAGGGCAAUCCCCCUCCAAAAGUCGUAUAUGGUGAAAUCAGACCAAGUCUGUGAGAACAGAGCAAUGGCCACCUAGGAAAGUUGUGUCAGAUAUGACUAAAUAAAUGCAGGGUUCAGACCAUCAUUGAGCUGGUGGGAAAAAUAUUUAAAAAAUAAAAAAAAAUCAGAAGGUUAAAUGCUGAAUAAGUUAUUUUUUCCCUUUUGUGGUAGUUCUGCAGUUUGUUUGACCCUUUAUAUUCCUUAUAAUAGGGACCAAAGGUUCAAGUCAAGACAUGACCCUUUGUGAUAGCUCAUGCAUAAAAAAAUAAAUUAAUUAAUUUAAAAAAUAAUUAAAUGUUGUGGAAAAGAAAGGAGGACCCAAGUUUAUCACUCACAAGCUUCAGGGCACUGUUCCUAAUUGUGGACCUAGUCUGAGAUGUGCAGAUAGCUCACGUCAGUUUAAAGAUACAUGAAUUUUGCUCCCUGUCAUAGCCUUAUGAUGCCAAAAAGGACUGCAAGUCACUGCUCAUCUGACGGGUUUCAUAUCUGAAGUCUAAAAUGAGAUGCUUCUGCUUAAGGUCUGACUAUUCAGAGAUGCAUCUGGAGUCCCACAACUGCUCCUGAAAUCAGUGGGAACUCGCUUUAAGCACCUCUGCGAUACAGUCUCGGGUCUCUCCUACUGGAAUCUUUAAAAUUGAAGAUACCUGAAAGUUACAGGGCACUUCAAAAAAGGUAAGCUAGAGAUGACAGUGCUUUUUAAAGCACAACAAUACCUAAGUAUGACAAAUAAUGUAGAAGUGCUAAUACUGUUUGGCAAUUUCCUGGAAGGUCUGUGGAGUGGAAAUUCUGUUCAUUAACUGAUGCUGAUACCUCCAGAAGUCAUUUCAAAUUGUUUUCCUGAAAUAAGACUUGAACCCAGAUGGCAGAGGUGAACCCGCUUCGCUAGCCUCCAACAAGAGAUGUUAUAGGUUCAGAAACAAUAUUUAUAUUCCCAAAUCUCUCUCUCUCUCUUUCUUCCUCUCUCUCUCUUUUUUAAGCUUAUUAAAAUUAAAAGCAUGACCUGCCACAUCACAUUACAUCAAAACAUGAUGUAACUUCUUAAUUUAAAAAAAAAAAGUUUUAAUUUAUGAUGUUGCAUUAUGCCACAAAAAGCUUUUGUUUUCCCCAGAGUAACUAUAAAUUUUUUACAGCGACUGUUUAUCCAGUACCUUUGGCAGACUGAAACAGUGAGCGUUGGCAAAAAGCAGAUAUUUAACAGCUACUGACGAACAGCUUAUGAAUCACCAGGCUUGAAUCCUGGCACACAUCUCCCUGUAGGUACCUUGCUGAAAUGACCCAUCUUCCCUUCAGCUCCUUCUAACUGCAGUAACAUUGAGUAACUGACUGAUCCCGAACCACUAAACUUGAUCUACUUUAUCCUUUCAAGCCUUUAUAUUUUUUGAGGAAAGUACUCUUGCUGUAAAAGUGCCACUGAAAUAACAUUCCAGGAGCACAAUGUCCAGCACUGAUUUGCCACUAAUUCUGAACAACCCAGAAAAAUAUUUUCUUUAUAACAUUUGACAUUAAUUUGUUUUUCAUUUCCAGAUAGAAAAGGGAUUUGCAAAAUAGGUUUACCUACACAUUUAUGUAGGUGGGGGGAACUGAGACAUAAGCAACAGAAGAUGUCAUCAGUAAAGCCAAAAAUAAACAGGUCCUGGUCUGCUCUGCUGGUCCAUGUAUCUUCCAGAUGAUGAAUUCAUAAUGUUUGGCUUCUUGUUUUACAUGCUUCUGCAAGGCAAGCUGGACUAUCCACGAAAGGCUGUAUAUUUGUUGGCCUGGAUCUCUUACAGUCUGUUUACUUGUCUGGUGCUUUUUCAGGGGAUUGUUCUGACUAAAGCAAGGGAAGUUCAAUGGAACUUGAGAACAAGGACUACUUGUCCGAACAAGGAUUUUCGAGCCCUUGGUUUCCGAACAAUUGCUUUAUAGGGUGGACUGUGUACCAUAAAUCUGUAGCAUAGGAGUAUGGUCAUAUUGGCUUAACUGUCUUACUAAGACUGGACUUAUUUCUCAUACAACUGAUAAAAGUCAUAAUGCUGUCAGUCCUUGGUAUACUAGCUGUACUCAACUUUUACUGCUUCCUAGUUCCAUGAUCCAUAGUGCACAUAUGGGGUAUAAAGCCUUCUUAAAAUCAUAGCCCCUUAACUAAAAGCUUUUUCUGAGAGAUAGUGUGGUUUGAAUUAUAUUGAGGACCCCAAAUAGCAAUUGCUCUUGGGCCACUGCCUUUGAAAUAGAUCUAUUUUAGGUAGAUAUUCCUCUUUUGAAGGGGUACUUCUACCCCUAUUUAUGAGCCUCAGUGUUUGUACCAAAUAACCUAACAGCAGAGUGAAAGCUCCCUGAGUAUUUUUGAUGUAGACGCACCUCGAUGAUCUUCAUCACAUGUGAUGUGUUGGGUGAAAAAGGGCAUUUUUUUCACCGUUAUGUAGCUGUUGCUUUGGGUGCCCUACUGAGAACCAAACCAGAGGGCUACGACCUGUUUUGCAUUAAAAUCCUAGAAGACUGUCUAUUUUAUCUCUAAGUUGAGUAGGGGAAAGCUCAAAUCUAAACAAAUGUCCCUGGCUCAGGAAGCCAUUCCUUGUGUCAUUUCUAGUAACAAGCACCUAUUACAUUAGUAGCAUCUCUCCCUGUGACAGAUUGGUGAACUAACCUGGAUUGUUUUUACUUGAGAUCAAGUCUUCAGUAUGGUUCAGUGAGUGUGGUGCAAACAAUUGCACCAGCAAAACUGUUAGAGCACUGAGUCUGAAAUAAGCUGGGGGGCUGUUUAAAACAUUUGUUAACCCUCUCCUAAAAUGCAGUUGACACAACACACCCUAAGACAGUAAACUCUACCAGUAAGAGCAUGAUGGAAAAGAGAAGUCUUAGGUGAAAACAUUGGAUGAAGCUGAACUAAAGACUCCAAACUGUCUUGUAAAUAUGGAAGGAAUUAUCUUGAAGGAAUCUCCUGUUGACUUGACAUAAGCGGUUUCAUGUUUUAUGGCAUCUUACAUUAUUGUUUAAAUUUGUUUCAGGAAAGAAACAUACUUUUUAAGGUCAGGCAUACAGAUUUGUUAGAUGCUAAGACACCUGAAAAGCAAGAAUACAGAUUGUAGGAUGAAUAUUUUACAGAGUAAUUAUUUAAAUAUAUUCAAGUAUGAACAUCUUUAGAUCCUAAAUUUAGUAUUCCUGAAGAAUAUAAUCUUACAAUAAAAUCUAGCCCACUCUCCUAUUGUUCAUACCAUUUCAAUUUUUUGUUUGAAUUAGCUGUUUCGAAAAUUUGUUUUUUGAUUGUUUAUUUAAAGUGCCCCAGACAUUUUUGAUAUUUUUGCCCCAUCUUUAAUUUUUGGCAUGGCACUUGCACAUAUGUUGAUGAUGAUACGUCUGAAGUUCUCAAAACAUGAUCACACACCAUAGCUGGUGUGAGAACCACUCAGAUGUGAUGUGCAGAGGAAGCUCCCUGUUUCCUAUAGAUCCCUUGCCUAAGCUGCAGGUUAAGGGCCUGCCUGGGGCACAGAGCAGCAACCCAGCAACUGCAAGAUCCUUCAGCAGCUCUGCGUGGCUCAGGAGCACUCUGUGCAUUGAGCAUUCCCUUGGCUGGAGAUCAGGAUCAAGGCUGAGACACAGUGCCUGGAGGGGUCUGACUGAAAGUGAUGAUGGGUGUAAGUAGUUAAGAUAUAAGUAGUUGAUAGGUCUGCAGAUGCUGCUGGAUGGAGGGAGUUUGGAUUAAUAUGCAGAAAAAGUGAGAAAUGAAGGGUUGGCUACAUACCUUCAUGUCUACAUGCACCUUGGAAAUUAAUAGUAAAAAAAAAAAAAAAAGUUAUCAAGCAGUAACAGCUGCUAUUGCAAACUCCUUAGUAACCUGGAUUUGGGGAACCUCAUUGCUGUAACAGAGAUAAGAAAUCCACUGGCUGCCAUGAAUUACUGGAUUAUGAAUCACAUUUCCAGGUAGGUUCUCUAGAUCUGCACACCAAGUUGAACUCAAAUUUUAGGGUUCAGCUGUUUUGUUUAGGCAUUGUAAACAACGAGAUCUCUGAGUUUUAUACCUCUGAUUGUACCUCUCAUACCUCUGAGCUUUAUGUCUUGUUAUAUGGAUAGAACAGGCACCUGCAGAAAUGUGAGCCUGCCUGCAUCUGGCUGAAAACAACACAGCUCAAAUUUAACCACACCUGCUCUAUUUAAAAUCAGUAGUAAAUGUUUAAUACACUGAAAUUGAGAUAGGCUCUAUUAUGUUACGUAAAGAUAUUAUAGAAUCGCACAAAGAUCUUUUGUUAUUCUUGGCAUCAUGAAGCCUAAUAAACAGCUUCAAUUUCAGUUUUAAGUACGGACACCUUAUUGUCAAGUGUUGGCUGUGAUAUAUUUAUCAAUAACCUUUUCUGGCCACCUGUUUUCCUGCACGGUCUUUGGUGUGUCCUGACUGAACCUUAGCUUGCUCAGCUAUAUUCCAAUAUUCUUACUCUGGAUCUUCUGCUCUACUACCCCACCAGGAUUAAUGUAACAAAGGUAAGAACUGAACUUCCUCUGUAUGCAUCAUGCACACUUACUACUUUAUAUUACAGCCAGUUGGACAGAAGUAGAUACAGCAAAACUUCAGUCUGCUGUGUGACCAUUUUCUUGGAAAGUCCUUGUAAAAUAUUUUCAGGGCAUUCACAUGUUUCCAAUACCAUGAAAUCAGAGGAAUAGUGAUGGCAGAAAAUGGGAGAGUCUAAAGAACAGGCCUAUUGCAAUGGGUGCACAUACACUAUUCCUACAUUUCAACUCAUUCAGACACAAGACACAGAAGCUUCUAAUUCAUUAGAACAGUGCUGAACACACAAAUGACCACAUGUGCAGUGAGGUCAUCAUUAAAUAUAUUGACACAAAGAUAAUUCUGCAGUAAAAUCAUUACAGAAUUGAAAAUAUACUUGUGUAUAACCCACUACUUCUAGAUCUCACACUCCUGGAUGGGGGUGUUCGUGCUGGGAGGUUAUGGUACUGCUCAUUGUGAGUAAAGCUAAAAGAACCUGAGCCACAAAACAUACUAUGUUCUGCUUUGUUUCUGGAGUGUUCAAAACUAAAUCUGCGGACAAGACUAAAAGAAAAGAGCUAUGAACUCUUAAAAACAGCAAUUGUGUAGAACUCAUGAGACGUUGUUUUCCUAAGUGAUUUAUUUGGUUCAUAAGAGGAUGUGAGUGUGAAUUUAUCCCAUUCUCCUAUUUUGAACAUACAAAUUUGGAGAUGCAGUCAAUUGUCUGGUGUGGGGAUACAGACAACAAGCUAAUUCCUGCAAGUAAAUUUGGAGAUGCAGUCAAUUGUCUGGUGUGGGGAUACAGACAACAAGCUAAUUCCUGCAAGUUGUGCUCACAAAAUUAAUGGCUGUUUUAAAAAAAAGAAAGAAAGAGAAGGAAAAAAAAAAAAAAAAAAAAAAAAAAAAAAAAAAAGAAUGAAAGAAUGAACAAACAGCCCACACUUCAUUAAGUUGUCUCUAGCUUAGUUUGUCAGGGAUUUGUCUGAACCAGAGUAUGUUCUUCAUAAGAAAGCCUCUAAAACAGCAAACUGAUACCCAGCUCCAGUUGCUCACCUACUUUUUUAGUUCUGUGAAGUAAAACAAGAAUUUUUCAUUCACCCAGUCAAAAAGUAUAACCAAAGUUAUCCCUCAUCCAACAUUUUGCUCUAAACCAGAAAAGGUAUUUUUUGGCAGACCUGUUACCUCACAUGUGCUUUUCCUUUUGCCUCUUAGCCUUGCUUGGCUUCUCCUGCCCUUGUUUCUGCAGUGUACAACUGCUGCAGUUCAGUUUCCUGUAGCUCUGCCUCAUCAGGUGCCCUCUCUGCAUCAGUUUCAAGUAGUGUGCAAAGAUGAUGGAGAUGGUGCAAGAGAGCUCCAAAACUUUCAUACCUUCAGUAUUAUCUGAUGUCUUUCUGGCUAGUAAGUCUACCUAAUUUGUGAAUAUCUGGCAGGCAUUAUAUCCUUCAUAGCAGGUAUUGUACAUGUAUUCUUAAAUUUUCCACUGUAAAACAUAAUACUGUAGCCAGAGAAUGAUCACAUACACUGUAUCAUGACCUAGGUCUAGGUUUUGUAUCCCCAGUUUUCUGGAAGUAAUAGGUAGGAGUCACAGAAGAAAUUCUAGUCUCAGCCCUCCAGGGUGUUAAUCAAAGGUUUCCAUGUGUACCCUUGUCUUAUUUCUUCAAUUUGUAUCCCUGUUACCAUGCCCUCCACUAACCUGAACUGAAUCUUCCCUAACAAAAAGGCCCUUUCUCAACAAGAUUAAAAGCAGAAUACUUUAAGUAAUUUAGAAUACAAAUGUGCAAUGAAAUAUCAGCCUGGGUGAUGCUAUGAGAAGGAAGAGUGUACAGUAUGCUUUAUGUGCUUUUAGCUGUUCUACCCUACACUGCAACAUGUGCACCCACUCUUGUAACCUUUACCGCUGUGCAAAGAUGAUCUGUCAUUUCUACAAAAUAUAUAUAUAUACACACGCUUCCACUGAGGCAGCUUUGAAUCCUUACUGCCCUCUAGAGAAAUUCUACUAGAAAAGCUCAAACUGACCGAGUCAGCAAAAAAUGAUUGCAGUCCUAAUCUUAAUGAAACUAGCUGCGUACAGUGUCUGUAACAAGAUCUGUAGACACAGAAAUGCACCUAAAAGAUCCUUUUUCCCAAGCCUCUUACUAUCACUUGGAGUUGUGGCCAGAGUUGAACACACUUACCCCAUUCACUGUAUGGGAUAGUUCAGCAAAAAUCCAACUUUGUUAUCCAUGGAUUUAAGUGAAAAAGAAACAAAGAUUUUUUUUUAGCGAAAUUACAAGGGCAAAAGCUACCUUAUGUUCUCACCACCAAGGGAAGCUUAAAUUAUUUAAACUACACAUCUGUAACUAUACGAUUUUACUAUUCACACUUCCAUCCCAUGUUAAACAAGGCAAGCCCAGUGGCAGUGGAUGAAACCGGCAGUGACUGAGCGCAGAGUCAUGCUGCAAGGCUUGAGCGAGCCCUCUUGAAGAGGCUGAACACCUCCUGCGUGGGAAAAUCUAUGGCAGAGGAAUUUUAAACAAGCAACCAACAUCAUGGAGGCAUCUGAACUCUCAUCUCCACCACUGUGCCGCAUCAUUCUGGGGCUAGGGUGGCUUUGCACAAGCCUUGCCUUUGAGGUACCACAGAGCAGCAUCACCCCAGGGCAGAAGUUGUGCCUCCAAAAGGCCCAAUUCUCACUCUGUUCAUUCUUGUCAAAGGCAACGGUAUGAUUCUGUCGCCCUGCAUGCCAGCCAGUCACCUCUAUGAAGUAUUUGGAUACAUGUUUCCAGGUGCAGAAGAGUCAGCCUGAGUGUGCCAAGCUGAACAGACGUGCCAAAGGGUGUUAAACCCCUUGCCAUACAUGCACAAGGAGGUUUCCUGCAAGUACCUCGUGCAGAGGAGAGCAAACCCGGGAGCACACCCUGAUCCAGGCAAUGAUCCCAUACAGGUGCUGUCAGAGCCUAGACAUUUCAGUGUGACACAAACCACCUCAGAUUAUUAGCUCCUAUAAUUUGUAAUGCUUGUAACAAAUCUCUCCAUUCCUUUUGAUCUGUAUAUGAGAUCCUUUUUGUCCUUAACAGAGAAAGAACCACCUUGCUUCCCUCAAAGCUAUGCUGGAGGCCACCAGGUUAAUUCCAUGCUAUAUGCAUGGAUAAAAAGGAGGAUAAGAAGAAAGAGCAGGUCAUGAAGUGGCAAAGGUUGAGAAGCCCGGCUUUAAACACUUUAUGGGAAAUUGUAAAACUUCUAAACAAUUUAAUAGAUUAACUUCCCCCUUCAGUGGCAUCAGUAAAACUGAAUUAUCAUCCUCACUUUUAACUGAUGCCUAGACCCAAUACUCAUCCAUCAGGGAUCAUUUAGUGAUAAAGCAAUCAAUCCUGCCAUGGUGCAGAGGGGACAAACUAUGCAAGAUACCAUCACCAAAUAUCCUUUCCACCCCAAAGCAUUCUGUGAGUCUUUGUCAAUGAAAGUGCAUUUGUCUAGUCUUAUCUGUUGCAGUAUACGUGGAAUACAAAGGAAGAAAGUAAAAUAUGCAUUUGAUGUACAUGUGCAGAUGCCAGACGUACAAUCAAACCAAAGAGGACUGCCUUUUUCCGAGGAACUGAACACAACACCUGAAAACCAACAACUGCACCACUACCUCAGAAGAAUGCAAUGUGUGUUUUAUACCAAAGUCAUAUUAUUUUCCCUGUAACAAGUACAGAAGCAGCUUUAUUUGCAUUACUCACUUGCAGAUCUAGAGAAGAGAACACUGAAAUGCUAGAAAGACUUCUGAGGAGAUGAAAGAGGAGAACAGUCAGUGUGUUCCAGCAUGGAAAGAGGCUCUUCAACUUGUCUGCAAGAAGCAUCUCUAUCUAGAAGAUGACUACAGAUCAGAUUUCGCAGUUUUAAGAGCUAUGCUGGUCCUAAAGGAGAAAGGGAGAGAAGGCCACAUUCCAAUCUCACUUGCGAUGUUUUUGCACCAUGGCCUUCAAGAGAGAUAAGCUUUCCCUCUUCAGUGACCGCAAGCUUAGAACCAAGUUUAUAUUCUUUUCUUGCAAUACUGUUGGGGUUUUUUCACAUCUUAUUGGUAUGUUGCCCUUCUUUAUACUUUUUAUACCUCUGCUUUCUAUUGUGUCUUGUUUUUUGUUGUUGUUGGUUUUUUUCUUUUAAAACUAUUCUCCGGCAGCCUGUGUGAAAGGCAAAUGAAACAAUAAAUGGUGUAGUAUUUUAAAGGGCUUUCUCUAUUUCUCUCCUGUCUAGCUCAACUGAUAGCUGUCUUCCCAUUACUUCAGUUAGUUAGGGUUUUUCUUUUUCUCUGAGCUUGGAAGGUAGGAUACGUUGCCCCUGUGUGAUCUCAGACGACAGGGGGCUGGAUGGAAACGCUGUGUGAAGGUAGAAGUCUACACAUUUCUUGUCGUACAUAAAUGUCUGUCUCCAGGAGAGUGUUCAGGCCAUAUCUGUCCAACGCAGUGCCCAGAAAUGCCUGUCUCAGAGUCUCUGAUGAGGCCUGACUUUUUUGCGCCUCUGUCUGAUUUUUUCUUUUUCUCUCAUGAUUGACAUUUGUCUUUUCCGGGCCUUGUUUGCUUGCACUGCACUUGUAGGCAGCCUGAAGCAGUGCAGUAUUUUCAUUUCAGUCAGGUUAAGGGUGACGAAGAUUACACAUGCAUACUGAUUUAUGCCUUAAAGGCUGGAAAUAGUGUCAAGUGUGAUCUCAGCUGAGCUCUGCUCGAUGACUCAAGUGCUCAGCACAAUGUUAUACUCCCAGACAUCAAUCCUCAUCCAGUGAAAUGAAAACUCUGUCCAGAACAUCGUUCAAUAAAGUCCUGAUCUGUAAGUGUUAUUAGUUAUUAAUAAGAUAAUAAUGAUGCUUUCCAUGUUCAUGCCAAAGCCUGAAUCGAGCCUUUAUUGGGCUAAGUACUGCUGAAACACAAGGCAGUGAGCAGUGCCAGCCUCAAAGAGCUCUCAGCGUAAAUGUGCAGUAGAUAACUGGUAUCUCUGCAAGUCACAGUAUGCACAACCACAUGGGCUUCUGAGAACGAUUCACUGUGAAGGCAUUAUGAUACGAGGUGUCAGUCCAGUAUCUUUGGACGUGGGUCCUUACAGAAUUAUAUUUGCAGGUGCCACAUGUCAGGAGUUCUUUGUAAAUAGCAGUUGAUCAGAUGGUAGAAGUUAUUUGGAAAAAUCAGGGUUUUUGUUUUUGUGUUUUUUUUUUAAUAUUUCACAGUCUGUAUUAUGUUCAUCAAUGCCUAUUGACUGUUGUUUGUUUGUUGUUUUCUCUGCCUUCUUCUACCUGUACAGGUAAAACAAUAGCAAAACAAAGGCCAAAGAGAAGUGAUUUGACAGUUAGUAUUACCCUAAGGGAAAAAAAGGCGAAGGACUUGAACCGCAGACACCAGCAUGGCAAGCUAUUGGUUAUUCUUGUGCGGGUGACUGUCCCCCUCUAGUUUUAACCUCACAUAGCUGUAUGGACCUGAAAAACUCUUCCCAACACAGGUAUCACCAGAAUUCUAAUGGCCAUAUUGAAAGUGUCAGAAAAUUCCCUGCCAAGCUCUAUUUGCAGCAUUCUGGGAAAUACCAGAGAUGAGAAGAACAAUGCACAAGCAGUCCAAGACUGAACGCUUCCAAUUGCCUUCAGCCCUUGCCAACACGGGGAACUAAGCAGUUUGCUUUGCUACUGACCAAGCACUUUCUACAAGAUAGCUGGAAAGAAUGGUGGAAGGGGGUGGAGGGAAUUCCUCUUCCAGAUGCCAGUUAGCUCUGAAUCCUUUCCUUUAAGUUAACACAUUUCUUCAAGUGUCCAAUGGAAUAAUGAAGCAAAUGCUUCUAAAAGAGCUAGUAACACACCAGACAUGCAGUCAUUCAUAUCUGAAUGUAGUGCAACCUCAGAUCAUUCACGUAUCAAUUAAAUAUUGUUACCCUGACACCCAGUCUGAAACAGCAAGUACAUCAGUGAGUAGAGCUGCAAUGCUCUUACCCUGCUGUAUUUGUUCUGGCAAUCAAAAGGGGGCACAUAGACUGCCUAACUGUCAUUACAGGUCCUUCGAUAAGUGAAAAUUCACUUUUAACAAAACACAAUGACUAUUCUUUUCUAAUCAAGUCAAGCAGGCUUGUAUUCUAAUGAAAAGGCAUUAAACCAAGGGAGAAACAGAUUAAAAUAAGUUAUGCUAUACUGCAAAAUACACCUGUGACUGCAACUAUAAUUGGUGGAUAGACAGACAGGCAGUCGCUCUGUCAGCUUUGGAAAUGGGUCAUGGUGUUCUGGAAAAAAACAGCAAAAUGAGUUAAAAUUCAGCUUUCAGUUCUACAGCUCUAUAUACACUGUAGAAAAAUAGAUUCAGGUUGAUUGAUCGUACUCAAAGCUGUGAUUUCUUUUGGAUAUACUCCCAAAACAGACUCAUCAGCACUGACCAGAUUCCUAUUUCUGUGGUAUACUUUGCAGCUACUGGCUGUGUAGUCAUGCUAACAUAAAACCAUCUGUAUUUCCUGAAUCAAUGUAAACUUCUUAAUUUUUAUUAUUUCAGGGAGAAGGUGAUUCUGAAUAAAUUUUGAAGCUGCUAGCAAUGUUCCAUGUUCAA